GAUGAACGCUGGCGGCGUGCCUAAUACAUGCAAGUCGAACGCGCAGCGGAAGGUGCUUGCACCUUUCAAGCGAGUGGCGAACGGGUGAGUAACACGUGGAUAACCUGCCUCAAGGCUGGGGAUAACAUUUGGAAACAGAUGCUAAUACCGAAUAAAACUUAGUAUCGCAUGAUACAAAGUUAAAAGGCGCUACGGCGUCACCUAGAGAUGGAUCCGCGGUGCAUUAGUUAGUUGGUGGGGUAAAGGCUUACCAAGACGAUGAUGCAUAGCCGAGUUGAGAGACUGAUCGGCCACAUUGGGACUGAGACACGGCCCAAACUCCUACGGGAGGCUGCAGUAGGGAAUCUUCCACAAUGGGCGCAAGCCUGAUGGAGCAACGCCGCGUGUGUGAUGAAGGCUUUCGGGUCGUAAAGCACUGUUGUAUGGGAAGAAAUGCUACAAUAGGGAAUGAUUUUAGUUUGACGGUACCAUACCAGAAAGGGACGGCUAAAUACGUGCCAGCCGCCGCCGUAA
rnacentral:rRNA from 1 species